rnacentral:rRNA from 1 species
UACGGAGGAUCCGAGCGUUAUCCGGAUUUAUUGGGUUUAAAGGGUGCGUAGGCGGCCUAUUAAGUCAGGGGUGAAAGACGGUAGCUUAACUAUCGCAGUGCCUUUGAUACUGAUGGGCUUGAAUACACUAGAGGUAGGCGGAAUGUGACAAGUAGCGGUGAAAUGCAUAGAUAUGUCACAGAACACCAAUUGCGAAGGCAGCUUACUAUGGUGCAAUUGACGCUGAGGCACGAAAGCGUGGGGAUCAAACAGG